rnacentral:tRNA from 3 species
GUCAGUGUGGCCGAGUGGUUAAGGCGGUUGACUUGAAAUCAGUUGGGCGUGCCCGCACAGGUUCGAAUCCUGUCGCUGACG